rnacentral:misc_RNA from 1 species
GAUGAAGAACGUAGCGAAAUGCGAUAAGUAAUGUGAAUUGCAGAAUUCAGUGAAUCAUCGAAUCUUUGAACGCACAUUGCGCCCGCCAGUAUUCUGGCGGGCAUGCCUGUUCGAGCGUCAUUUCAACCAUCAAGCCCCCGGCUUGUGUUGGGGACCUGCGGCUGCCGCAGGCCCUGAAAUGCAGUGGCGGGCUCGCUGUCACUCCGAGCGUAGUAGUUACAUCUCGCUCUGGGCGUGCUGCGGGUUCCGGCCGUUAAAAGCCUUAUUUACCCAAGGUUGACCUCGGAUCAGGUAGGAAGACCCGCUGAACUUAAGCAUAUCAAAAGCGGAGGA